CCGCCCUCACGCUGCACGGGGCCCCGCCCACCCGGCUCUCGGCUCUCCCACCCGGAAACUGUCCUGGCCGCCUACUCUGUUGUCCUCUCCUCCUGGGAGACUGGCGACAAUUGCGGCCAGCGGGUUGUUUAGUUGACCUGUGAGCCACAGCUUCGGGUCAUGGAGGGGGACGGCCCCGCCGCCACGGCCCCGCAGUACCAGCCGGUCUGUCCUACGCGGGACGCAUGUGUCUACAACAGCUGCUAUUGUGAGGAAAACAUUUGGAAGCUCUGUGAGUACAUCAAGACACACAACCAGUAUCUGUUGGAGGAGUGCUAUGCAGUCUUCAUAUCAAAUGAGAAGAAGAUGGUAAGUUGGUACCUAUUUGGAAACAGCAGGCAAGACCUGAGAAUGGACCUGUGAUCUGGCCUGUUGUCAUGUGAGGGACAGUUGCCUCCUGUUCUUGUUGCUGUGGACAGUCACUCCCGGCAUUAUGCCUUUCCCAUAGGGUUGGUUUGCUGUAGUCUCUGAAACCAUGAGCCAAAAUAAACAGUUCCCCAUUUAGGUUGUUUGUGUCAGGUAUUACAUAAUAGCCUGGCUGCUUUUUUGACUUAUCUGGAGACUGAUUAAAAGUAUAAGUUGCCUUGUUAGUUUAUCUAGAGAAGGCUUCAAGAUUUAGUGUGAGUUCUUGCGUGUUCUCUCUCUCUCUCUCACACACACACACACACACCAGGCUUAGUAUUUUUUUCUGAAUAUUUAUUUUAUGAUUUGUCUACUGCGUGUGCGUGCCUGAGUAGCAGGUGCACACAGAGGGGAAAACACAAUCUUGUAGUGUUGCUUCUCACCUGCCUUGUGGAGGCAGAGUUUCUUUUGUUUCUAUUGCCCUACUGUGGACUCUAGGCUCGCCAGCCUGUGAGCUUACAGACCCGUCAGCACCUUCCACCUCGGAGUGCCGGCAUUGCCAUGCACUGCCAUACAAUGAGAGUAAGAGGUAGUGGCGUCCAUUCUGUCACCAGGCAGGGCUAUGAGAGCUGACUUCCUCCUCCCUUGAGAUGAGGUCCUUCUCAGGCAGAUGAGAGCUUGUCUGCUUGGUUUGGUUUCCUUUUUUCUUUUUUUUGGUUUAAUUUUUUUUCUUAGAAGAGUAAUACAAAUUGGAAAGUUGCAUCCUCCUUCACCCCAACCCUGGAAGCCCCAGAUGAAUCGCAGCACAGGAAAGGUUUAUUUUGUGCUCAUUUCUGGUUUCAGUUUAUGACUGCUUGGCUCUGCAUCUGUGACUAUAGUGCGGCAGCUACACGUGGUGGGGCAGAGCUGUUUAUAGCCAAAGAGAGAGAGAAGGGGAAAGGACUGGGCUCCCAAUAUCUCCUUCAGUGAUUCUCCUCCAGUGACCAGCAGACUUCUCACUAGGCUUCACUGUGUUUUUGUUGUUAAGGUCUCAGUAUGUAGUUCUGGCUGGCCUGGAACUCUGUCUGUGUAUCAGGCUGGCCUUGGACUCACAGGGACCCACCUGCCUCUCCCUGUGAGUGUUGGAGUGUGUGUCACCUCAUCCAUCCUGGCCUCACCUCUUGAAGCCUCCACAGUCUGUCUCAUCUCACCCUGAUAAGUAAACCUUCAACCAAAGGGUUUCUUUGGGGGGACAGUGAAGAUCCAGCGUGUGGAAGACAUCUCUGUAGCCGCCGCCUCAGCAUUCAUAUGUGUGAAUGAGCGUAUGCUUUUGAAUGCACGCGUCCGUCUUUAGAUGAUCAUACUUUAAAAUAUAAUACAAAAUACAUCUAUGUCCUACAAUUGGUUUUCCUGUUCAGCUGUAGAACAUGGGAUAUCACGGAACAGUGUGUCACACACUGCGGUUGUUGAACCAUUUCCCGGUCACUGGCCGUUUUUCAGUAUUGGGGCUUUGCGUUUUAUUAUCGUCUAGCUUUGGUAUUCCGAGGAGGGUGACGUUAGCCUGGCCGCUGCUUUCCUGCUGAUGCUUGUGCGCUGACCCUGCAAUGCUGGGACGGACCAUCCUCCACUAACUGGGUUAACCUCAGUGAUUAUUAUUCCUAGGACUACCAUGUGGUUCUGCUUCAUGUGUCAAGGGAAGGACAAAGCUUCAUUUAUGAUCUUGACACUAUUUUGCCAUUUCCCUGCCCUUUCGACAUUUACAUAGAAGAUGCCCUUAAGUCUGAUGAUGACAUUCAUCUGCAGUUUAGGAGGAAAUUUAGAGUGGUUCGUGCUGACUCCUACUUGAAGCACUUCGCUUCUGACCGGUCUCACAUGAAAGACUCCAGUGGGAACUGGAGAGAGCCUCCCCCAGAGUACCCCUGCAUUGAAACUGGAGACUCCAAAAUGAACCUGAACGACUUCAUCAGCAUGGACCCUGCAGUAGGAUGGGGAGCUGUCUACACGCUGCCUGAGUUUGUGCAUCGGUUCAGCAGCAAAACCUACCAAGCCUGACAUCCGGGCUGCAGCUAGAGAAGCUCUAGGGUCUGAGUAAGCCAUCCUUCCAUUUAAGAGAGAGCGUGGUACAGGUGGCCUAUAGGGAUAUUGUUCUCACUAAAUGUGAGUGGAAACAUUAGUGAACACAGAUGAAAAUGAAUGACUAAGUCCCCCACCCCCUUUUUUUAGGCUGGGGAUCUAUCCCAGAGUUCUAUCUCCAACCCUAAACAGUCAGACCCCAGCCUCAGACAUAGAUAUGCCACAUUCGGUAUAUGGUUGCUAAAAUGUUUCCAUGGCUUGCUUACUUCGGUGUGUGAUGACGUAGGCCAGCAAUUGCUUUUGUAAAACUAGAGGUGUGGACCUGGAGUCGGCUCCUUUUGUCUGCUUCCUCUGCUUCCUGUCUGGCUAGACUCUAAACUCCUUGAGCACAGGUUUGUGGCCUGUGGCUCUAAGACUCUGUUGCCCAUUAGAGGUCCCGGUAAAAUGUUUCUAGAGUCAGCACUGCUGCUUGGUAAGGGACAGUAUUGUGAGCUGAAUCAGCUGUAAGUAUUAGUCUUUUUGGACUACGAUGUUUAAAAAAGUUGCAGAUAUCUUGUCUGAGUGCUAUUUGACCCACUUAUAUAUGUAGUUUUAAAUAAAAUUGACUUAAAAUUAA